AUAUGGUCGAUAAAUUAUUACUGGUUUAGAUACAACAACAAAAACUAUAGCCUUGUCUACUUUAACACCAUUGUCUUCUUUCAGGAUGGAAACAAUGCAGCGAAGCCUAGAGUGGGCAAAGGGGUACGCUCUUAAAUGUUGCUUCAGCAGACGGCCUGAUAGCUGAAGUGUCCGAGCUCAUGCAGGAAAGUCGCACCCAUGGUCGGCAUGCACAACCAGGUGGGAACCAUUUCAGUGGGGCCAGUUCCGGUUACCAGGCUCCAUUGACUUGGACUGGAGCUAGAGGUGCUCCUCAUUAUCACAUCACCGGAGAGCAACUGAGGGGUCUGAUGAUAGAUGGCAGAUAUUCUCCACAUGUUCCAUUCUACACUCAAACCACAUCUAAGGCACUUUGCAUUAACCUGAGGGCAGCUGCCUUCCCAUCAAUGUCGCAGAGGCUGCACAGAAGGUACAGUGUUGCUGCUCUGAAUUCUUUAUGACACAUCGAUGGAAACUACAGACUAAAGGUAGAUGCUCGCUCACUCACUAAUUUUCUUGGUAUAUAUUGGUUAUUGAAACUGUAGGUUGUAACAUCUCAAACGCUAUCAGGUAGCUCACUUGUUUAUCAACUAGAGCAAGAACUGACAUGGAUAUGUGGAUAAGAAUAGUUUUAUGAUGUUGCUGCUACUUUGG